rnacentral:rRNA from 1 species
ACUCCUACGGGAGGCAGCAGUGAGGAAUAUUGGACAAUGGGCGGGAGCCUGAUCCAGCCAUGCCGCGUGCAGGAAGACUGCCCUAUGGGUUGUAAACUGCUUUUAUACGGGAAGAAACACUCCCUCGUGAGGGAAUUUGACGGUACCGUAAGAAUAAGGAUCGGCUAACUCCGUGCCAGCAGCCGCGGUAAUACGGAGGGUGCGAGCGUUAAUCGGAAUUACUGGGCGUAAAGCGCAUGCAGGUGGUUUGUUAAGUCAGAUGUGAAAGCCCGGGCUGCAACCUCGGAAUAGCAUUUGAAACUUGGCAGACUAGAGUACUGUAGA